CCCACGGCUUGUGCCGUGGGCUAGAAUUUGCCGCCCCUCCGGGGCU
rnacentral:sRNA from 1 species